rnacentral:rRNA from 1 species
AUCCUGGCUCAGAUUGAACGCUGGCGGCAGGCCUAACACAUGCAAGUCGAACGGUAACAGGAAACAGCUUGCUGUUUCGCUGACGAGUGGCGGACGGGUGAGUAAUGUCUGGGAAACUGCCUGAUGGAGGGGGAUAACUACUGGAAACGGUAGCUAAUACCGCAUAACGUCGCAAGACCAAAGAGGGGGACCCUCGGGCCUCUUGCCAUCGGAUGUGCCCAGAUGGGAUUAGCUUGUUGGUGGGGUAACGGCUCACCAAGGCGACGAUCCCUAGCUGGUCUGAGAGGAUGACCAGCCACACUGGAACUGAGACACGGU